UGCAUGGAGGAUUCUUAAUACUUAUAAAAUCAUUUUUAGAUACAAUGUUUGAAUUUCAUCAAAUUCAAUAAAUAAUAAGAUCCCGCCAUCUCUGGCAAAACAAGUAUCACUAAUAGAAUGAAGAAAGUAACAUCUGACAGAAUAUGCAGCAGAACAAAAAAGGUUGAAAAUGGCCUGGAACUUUGGUAGUCCUUAUUAGGCAGGCGACAACAGUUCAUUUUGGAAAGUUUUCUUCCAGCUGCCAUAACGUCGUCACAGUAGCUGAGUCAUUCAUCUGAAACCGCUGCUGGUAUAAUAUGAUAGCCAUAUAUUCCUGAAUCUGCACCUGUAUUGUGGAGCCCCUGAAUCUGGGCAAUUCAGGAGGCUCUCUCAGCCACCUCAGCAUGCCUUAUGAAUUAGGCAUGAACUCUUCUAAGAUGUGAUCAGGAAGAAGGCAGAGGAAAAAAUCCUCCUGUGUAAUGAAAACAAUCACUCCAGCAAGCCUAAGAGCAGCCUCAAGUCUCCACUAAGUUCAGGAUGGAGGAACAGAUAAAGUGGAUGACAAUAUUGUCAGCUUUGCCGCCUACCUCACCGCAGUUUGAGCUGUUAACUUUAAAAUCGGGU